CACGUGAGGCUGGGAUCCUUACACGGCCUACUAAAAUUUUCUUUAUAGUUUUACCUUAAAAGCAUAUGUCUACCCAAGGAUGGCUUUGGACUGGAAAGAGGAUUUAAGUCCUUCUUCAUGUAAAAGGCAAGCACUCACGGCCAAUCUGAUGGUGAUCAUUCACUUUGCUCUGACAAAAAUUACCAUGGCCUGGGGGUUUAUGCUGGGCCACCGCUCUGCUAGAGGUGACAUCUGGUUUUUCUGAUUCUGAGCAGCUGUCUCUUCCACGCCCGUUUUCGAGAUGAGCUCACUGAGGUUUGGGGAGGUUACCCACACGCAAACCUUUCUCAAUUAGUAGGUGUUGCAGCCGGGUUCAGACCGGGGCGGGCCGGCUCCGCCGUCCACCCACAUUCACUCCUCCGCUUGGCCCUUCUAUGCAAAGUCUUCCAUCAUUUCAUUUGCUGAUCGAAAGGAUAAGGCAGCUGUUUUCCUGUGGCUUUAUGGGAUCACCGUGCCUCGGUGGUAAUGAACUGAGAACCGUAGGGUAAGCAUUAGAUUCCAGCCACUGAAAGAGUUGCAACAUCGAUAUAGACGUCUCCACUUUGGCGUUAUCCAAUAUUCAUUAAUAUUAAUUGCGGGGAUGGUUCUUGGCUUACUAAAUUCUGUGUCAGCCUCUGCUCAUAAACACCUUUGCUCCAAGUUAAAUCCAAACACGCAAAGACGUCUGUGCCCCAACUUGUUAAUGCCUGAUUCAACUACAGUGAGGGUCAAACACAGAAACGCUCAACACUUUGAUUUUGCUGUAAAGGGGCAGUUCGGUACACGAGUGGUUACAACACUCCUCGUGAAGAGUGUGCCUGGACCCUGCACUUAGGCAGUGAAGGAACUCCAGCAGCGAAAAAUCAAGAGGACAGCGGCAUGAAGCCUGGAGAAGCCUUACUUAUAAUUGUGCAAAUACGAGUGCAUCCUUUAGGGAGAAUUCUAAGAGGAAUCACCCAGAGCAAACCAAGCCGCGAAGCCUGUUCACGCCUCCAAGCGGUGGCCGCUGGGGUUUUGAGGGUGAAGAAAAGGCGGUCACAGUCACAGCAAAAGAAAAUAUCUGAGACUCUCAGGAAAUCUAAGCAAACAAAUACAGGCGUGUGUGCUGUAAAAUCCUGUAUAACGAUUCGAGGUAUGUCUGAAUCACUUUUGUAUCUGCGCGUGUUGUGUAAUCAGUGGCUUAUGCAAUUCAGUGGCACCUCUGGUUGGCUGCUUCACCACACGAGUUAAUUCGAAUACCUGUGCUGUUUUCUCCCAGCCUGUAAACAGGACUGCUCUGUGACCCCUGCCUGGUGCUGUUGUUACAGGUACGGGAGAAAUGAAUCACCCUGGGAUCUGACUCAAAGAUAAAGCCUUGGCCUUUCCACUGGGAUACGAUUGUUAAACACAAGCAUGCAACGUGGACACAAUUGAGAUCCAAAGGCUUCUUGUGGCUGAGACCAUCCACCACCUGAUUCCCGGCUCGUCCUGGACCUCAUUUCCAACUACGCCCUUGCCACUUAAGCCUGGGGCCCCUCCGCUAACACAUCCCCCUGUCCGGAGAGAGCAUGGACGGAGCUCUGUGUGUAGCUUAGGCUCUGCUCAAAUCUGCCCUGAGCAGACAGGCUUUCUGGACCACCUUCUAGAAGAUAGCACCUCUCUCCGCCUCAGGGACAUUGGCUCACAUUCCAGUCCUACCCUGAUGUUCCGAGCCCUCCAGCCAGCCCCGAUCUCCAUCACAUAGACUUGAGCAUGACUAGAGGUUUACUGAUCCACAUGCCUGUCAUUCCGGACAGGAGAGCUCUCUACUUUCGGACAUUAAUUUCAACCGUGUGACUGCGGCAGGUGAGAGAGAACCAGUAAAAUCAGCAAGAGUUAAAAAAAAAAAAAUCGCAGU